rnacentral:lncRNA from 1 species
CAACACUGCCUGAGACAGGAAUAACCAGGAAUUUUAAAACAAAAUUCCGGUUUUAACCACGUCUCACAUAGAGCUAUAACACAAGGGUUAAAUUUGUUAAUAAGAUAAAUUAAAUCAGAUUUGUUCUUCACUACGCUUCUGCAGUUCCAUUGUAGUACUUUGCCUAAGUGAGCCAUUGUUAAAUAUGUCAGUUAUUAUUUUCAAUAAAGGGGCAACGUUGGACGACAUGUCCACCGGUACACCUCUUACGAGCCCCAUCCUGGUAACAUUAAAAGAUGGAAUAAAAGCUUCAUAACCUUUUCCAAUAAGGCAUGAUGUUUUAAGAAAGAAUUUGCAGCUGAGUGACUUGUGAAUGCCAUUGAAAUUUUGUUGCGACCGAUACGCUUCAAACUGCCUUGUACUAUGUUUGGCACCUGGUUUUAUACAAAAAUCUGCCAAAGCAUAUUGGAUGCAAAUUAAGAUCCUGUGUUACCUCUCCUGUACUAGACCUAGCAACAUGAAUAAUAAAUGGUGAAGCAUCCAA